CACGAACUGCGCGAACGUUAUUCGGAAUUACUGGGCUUAAAGAGUUCGUAGGCGGCUUCGUCAGUCGGGUGUGAAAUCCCUUGGCUCAACCAAGGAAUUGCGCCCGAUACUGCGGGGCUUGAGGGAGUCAGAGGUGAGCGGAACUGAUGGUGGAGCGGUGAAAUGCGUUGAUAUCAUCAGGAACACCGGUGUCGAAGGCGGCUCACUGGGACUCUACUGACGCUGAGGAACGAAAGCUAGGGGAGCGAACGGG
rnacentral:rRNA from 1 species